AUAUGCUGCAAAUGAAAUCUAAAAGUAUUAUUGCAUGUAAAUUGUUAUUUUCAUAAUUUCAGCCAGUUGCCAGACCAAAAAUAUUGACAGUGCAUUUAAUGUUCAUUAAAGUCUACUUUCUUUUCUUUUCUUUUUUUUUUUGCUGUGAACUGCUAGGCUGUUGGAUAUGCAUUUAGUUAUGAAAUGGGGAAUGUGAUUAUCAGUGGAAGCACUUCCUAUAGAUGACGGGUAUCUGCAUACACAUUUUGAUGUGUUGUUCUUUACAUGCUAGAUAGUAUUGAAUAAUAUUUCCUCUGUACAGGGCCAGUCAAUACUCAUGAAUACUCCUGGUGCAGAAAAUCACUGGAUGUGUAAAUGUUGCAGUUGUAGCUACAUGCACCGGUUUGGUGCUUUCUGUACUCAGGGGAACUCUUUCCAGGGGCAAUGAUGGCAGCUGUGCAGGAGAAGAUCCCGUUGAGAAGGCAAAAGACAGCCCACUGGAGUGGAGUGAAAACUCAAAGCCUGCAGCCACAGAUACCAUGCUGGGCCCUGUCAAACUCACACAGCAAGACAGUCAGUGUCUGAAGUGUCCCAACACUUCAACCAACCGUCUCAAACCCAGUAAGUCUGCACUCUUCACAAGAUGAAAGUUCACCUACAUAUAGCUGAUCUCCAAAUAUCAGUUGUAAUCUUAUCUUCUGUGUCGCUGCUUUAACUGCACAAUCAUAGCAUGAUAUCACAGGCUUAAUAAGAUACACUAAAGCAUCAAGGUGGCUGGGAGAUAAUUAGAUUAAUCCAAAAUGAUGAGCUAGCUCUAGCUUUGCCCUGGCUAUGUUUAAAGAAACCACCCAGAGGAAGACAAAGCCAAAAUCCGGUGUUUUUAGGAAACCUGUAACUACAUCAACUAUUUUAAUGUCCCUGAAAAUAACCAGUGUACAACCAAAGCUUCCUUAUAAAUAUGUGCAAUUAAAUAAUCAUGAUCUACUUAUAAAAAAUAUUAAACGGAUGCUGUUUCUUGUUAACCCUGUCUUCGACAACACUGUGCUCAGACCCGUAUCAAGGGUGUAAAGUGCUGAAAACAAGUAAAUCAUUCACAUGUACAGAA